rnacentral:rRNA from 1 species
UACGUAGGGGGGCAAGCGUUGUCCGGAUUUAUUGGGCGUAAAGAGCGUGUAGGCGGCCAUACAGGUCAGCUGUGAAAAACUCGAGGCUCAACCUCGAGACGUCGGUUGAAACCGUAUGGCUAGAGUCCGGAAGAGGAGAGUGGAAUUCCCGGUGUAGCGGUGAAAUGCGCAGAUAUCGGGAAGAACACCUAUGGCGAAGGCAGCUCUCUGGGACGGUACUGACGCUGAGACGCGAAAGCGUGGGGGAGCGAACAGG